rnacentral:rRNA from 1 species
UGGGAAUAUUGGACAAUGGGCGCAAGCCUGAUCCAGCAAUUCCGCGUGGGUGAAGAAGGUCUUCGGAUUGUAAAGCCCUUUCGGCAGGGAAGAUUGUGACGGUACCUGCAGAAGAAGCCCCGGCUAACUUCGUGCCAGCAGCCGCGGUAAUACGAAGGGGGCUAGCGUUGCUCGGAAUUAUUGGGCGUAAAGGGCGCGUAGGCGGCCUUGUUUGUCAGGCGUGAAAUUCCUGGGCUUAACCUGGGGGCUGCGCUUGAGACGGCAGGGCUUGAGGAUGGAAGAGGGGUCGCGGAAUUCCCAGUGUAGAGGUGAAAAUUUCGUAGAUAUUGGGAAGAACACCGGUGGCGAAGGCGGCGACCUGGUCCAUUACUGACGCUGAGGCGCGACAGCGUGGGGAGCAAACAGGAUUAGAUACCCUGGUAGUCCACGCCGUAAACGAUGUGCGCUGGAUGUUGGGGCCCUUAGGGCUUCAGUGUCGUAGCCAACGCGAUAAGCGCACCGCCUGGGGAGUACGGCCGCAAGGUUGAAACUCAAAUGAAUUGACGGGGUCAUAGCUGUUUCCU